rnacentral:rRNA from 1 species
CGGGUGAGUAAUACAUAGGAAUCUACCCAGUAGUGGGGGAUAACUUGGAGAAAUCCAUGCUAAUACCGCAUAUGUCCUACGGGGCAAAGCAGGGGACCCUCGGGCCUUGCGCUAUUGGAUGAGCCUAUGUCGGAUUAGCUAGUUGGUGGGGUAAAGGCCUACCAAGGCGACGAUCCGUAGCUGGUCUGAGAGGAUGAUCAGCCACACUGGGACUGAGACACGGCCCAG